GGGCUGGUGGCUUAGUGGUAAAGCAUCUAGUCUAGACCCUGGUCCCAGGUUCGAUUCCUGGCCAGUCCA
rnacentral:tRNA from 1 species